rnacentral:rRNA from 1 species
GCUCAGGAUGAACGCUGGCGGCGUGCUUAACACAUGCAAGUCGAACGAAGCGCGCGGAAGGAAGGCCUUCGGGCCGGAGAGCCGCGGGACUGAGUGGCGGACGGGUGAGUAAUGCGUGGGCAACCCGCCCCGUACAGGGGGAUAACAGCCGGAAACGGCUGCUAAUACCGCAUAAGCGCACAGCGCCGCAUGGCGCGGUGUGAAAAGCUCCGGCGGUACGGGAGGGGCCCGCGUCUGAUUAGGCAGUUGGCGGGGCAGCGGCCCACCAAACCGACGAUCAGUAGCCGGCCUGAGAGGGCGGCCGGCCACAUUGGGACUGAGACACGGCCCAAACUCCUGCGGGAGGCAGCAGUGGGGAAUAUUGCACAAUGGGGGAAACCCUGAUGCAGCGACGCCGCGUGAGCGAAGAAGUAUUUCGGUAUGUAAAGCUCUAUCAGCAGGGAAGAAAAAAAUGACGGUACCUGAGUAAGAAGCACCGGCUAAAUACGUGCCAGCAGCCGCGGUAAUACGUAUGGUGCAAGCGUUAUCCGGAUUUACUGGGUGUAAAGGGAGCGUAGGCGGCGCGUUAAGUCUGAUGUGAAAACCCGAGGCUCAACCACGGGAGUGCAUUGGAAACUGGCGGGCUGGAGUGCCGGAGAGGUAAGCGGAAUUCCUAGUGUAGCGGUGAAAUGCGUAGAUAUUAGGAGGAACACCAGUGGCGAAGGCGGCUUACUAGACGGCAACUGACGCUGAGGCUCGAAAGCGUGGGGAGCAAACAGGAUUAGAUACCCUGGUAGUCCACGCUGUAAACGAUGGAUAAUGGGUGUGGGGGGACUGACCCCCUCCGUUCCGCAGUUAACACAAUGAGUAUCCCCACCCUGGGGAGUACGAUCACAAGGUUGAAAGUCAAAGGAAUUGAGCGAGGGCCCGCACAAGCGGUGGAGUAUAUAGUUUAAUUGGAAGGAACGCGAGGAACCUUGCCAGGGCUUGACGUCCCGAGGCCCGGUGUAGAGAUACACCUUUCUCUUCGGAGACCUCGGUGACAGGUGGUGCAUGGUUGUCGUCAGCUCGUGUCGUGAGAUGUUGGGUUAAGUCCCGCAACGAGCGCAACCCUUAUUGUUAGUUGCUACGCAAGAGCACUCUAGCGAGACUGCCGUUGACAAAACGGAGGAAGGUGGGGACGACGUCAAAUCAUCAUGCCCCUUAUGUCCUGGGCCACACACGUACUACAAUGGUGGUUAACAGAGGGAAGCAAUACUGUGAAGUGGAGCAAAUCCCUAAAAGCCAUCCCAGUUCGGAUGGCAGGCUGCAACCCGCCUGCGUGAAGUUGGAAUCGCUAGUAAUCGCGGAUCAGCAUGCCGCG